GUGUCAGCAGCCGCGGUAAAACGUAGGAGGCGAGCGUUAUCCGGAUUCACUGGGCGUAAAGCGCGUGCAGGUGGCUUGGUAAGUUAGGCGUGAAAUCUCCCGGCUCAACUGGGAGAGGUCGUCUAAUACUACCGGGCUUGAGAGCAGAAGAGGAAGAUGGAAUUCCCGGUGUAGUGGUGAAAUGCGUAGAUAUCGGGAGGAACACCAGUGGCGAAGGCGAUCUUCUGGUCUGUUUCUGACACUCAGACGCGACAGCUAGGGUAGUAAACGGGAUUAGAUACCCGGGUAGUCC
rnacentral:rRNA from 1 species